ACGGCUCAGUAACACGUAGUCAACAUGCCCAGGGGACGUGGAUAACCUCGGGAGACUGAGGAUAAACCACGAUAUGUCACUACUUUCUGGAAUGGGUAAUGACUCAAAUCUACAUGGCCUCUGGAUUGGACUGCGGUAGAUCAGGCAUGUUGGUGAGGUAAUGGCCCACCAAACCUGUAACUCGGUACGGGCUCUGAGAGGAGGAGCCCGGAGAUGGGCACUGAGACAAGGGCCCAGGCCCUAUGGGGCGCAGCAGGCGCGAAACCUCUGCAAUAGGCGAAAGCCUGACAGGGUUACUCUGAGUGAUUUCCGUUAAGGAGAUCUUUUGGCACCUCUAAAAAUGGUGCAUAAUAAGGGGUGGGCAAGUUUGGUGUCAGCCGACGUGGUAAUACCAAGCACCCCGAGUGGUCGGGACGUUUAUUGGGCCAAAAGCAUCCGUAGCCGGUUCUCAAGUCUUCCGUUAAAUCCACCUGCUUAACAGAUGGGCUGCGGAAGAUACUAUAGAGCUAGGAGGCGGGAGAGGCAAGCGGUACUCGAUGGGUAGGGGUAAAAUCCGUUGAUCCAUUGAAGACCACCAGUGGCGAAGGCGGCUUGCCAGAACGCGCUCGACGGUGAGGGAUGAAAGCUGGGGGAGCAAACCGGAUUAGAUACCCGGGUAGUCCCAGCUGUAAACUGAUGCAGACUCCGGUGAUGAGUUGGCUUUAUGCCAACUCAGUGCCGCAGGGAAGCCGUUAAGUUUGCCGCCUGGGGAGUACGGUCGCAAGACUGAAACUUAAAGGAAUUGGCGGGGGAGCA
rnacentral:rRNA from 1 species